UGUGCUGAGUUUGUGUUCCUUCCAGCUCCCUCAGAGUGGGUGGAUCAGUGCAGCCCAGCCCAGCCUGCCAUUUACUACAUCAUCUUCUGGCUUUCCUCAGCUGCACAGCAGAACAGUCUAGCUCAGCCUGCCAGCCUGCCUGUGCCAGUAGACCUCCUGCGUUCAUUCCAGCUCUCUCAGAGUGUUUGAGUGACUCCUCCAGCCUGCCGUUUCACUCCCCUUCCGCUGGCUUCUCUCGGUAAUUCAGCAUCGUGGUCUACCCCCUAAUGCCAGCCUUUCUGCCACCCAGAUAGCGGGGUCCUGCAGGAACAGCUGAGUGAUGGCAGUAAAUGGGACUGAAGAGGAUAAGAUUACAGGAAGGAGGUGAUAUGAGAUAGUCUUAUACCUGAAAUUAGUUGGAGCAGGUCAAAUCUUACUAUCAGCCAUGGGAAUUUACAAGCAUUCCAAAGAGGCUGAGGAAAUCCAGGAAACCACAAUGACAGCUCUACUUGAAAAGACCAUUAUAUGAUAGUUACUUGAGAGAGAAAAUAUAGCAUAUUUUACCCCAUUCAUGAAAGAUUAGAAAUAUCACUUAUAUUAAACUGUUUGGUUUAAUAAAUGAUUUAGUUUUAAUUAGAGCCGGUCAGGAAUUUUUUGAUUGAAUGCUUUUUGUUGGAAAAUGCCAGUUUGUUGAAAACAAAACUUGGUGCAGGAAUGUAGCAGGUUCAACAAAGUUUUCAAGCGGGGUUUCUGAGGUACAGGAUGGAAUAUCUAGUCACAGAGGGAGAGAGGCAGACAGACAGAAACCAGAAAAGCUGGGGGUUAGGGCACUCACCCAGGUCUUGGGAGGCCUAUAUUCAAGAUCUUUAUCCAAAUCAACUAGAGUGGGGAUUCAAACCUAGGUCUUACACAUUGCAGGGGAUUUCCUAAUACAAGGCUAUUCAGAGGCCCCCCAUCUCUGGGUGUUUUGUGUGUGGGGAUGAAACUUCAGAAGGUUUGUUUUGUCUCAAAGUGCAACAGAAAUUUUUUUGAAAUCUUGAAAAUGUUUGUGGGACAGGAGAACUAUUUUCCUACUAGCUGUAGUUGUAAUGCAUUGCGGGAAGAUAUUUGUUUGCAUCAACUGGGAUUUUCCAUAUAAAGGUCAUAGUGAUUGUCUUCUUUGAGAUACAGCUAAGUUAUUACUCAUGUUUUGCUGUAUCAUGUGCAAACUUUUUCAAAUGUACCAUUUGUUGUUCUCUCUAAAUAAUUUAAAUUUUAUAGGCAAGAAACCUCCUCAGAGAAAUUACUGUUUUUUGUUCCAUCUGUAUGUUUAACAAUGAGCUUGGUGUGAUGCUGUGUAUAAGAAAGAUGACCAUUUGUAUAAUUGUUUCUAUGACUGUUAAACAAUUGCAACAAAUCUUGUACAACGUAUAUCAUGUAAGGUGUCAAUGGAAAAGUUACGAUUUGCUAAGUAUGAUUAUCCUGUUUAUAUGCAUGUAUCAUCUUUAUAUGUGAAUUUAUGAAUAUUGGCUAUGGAAUUGUAUAUCAAACGUGUUGUAUUCCUGGGUGACACCCCGCAGACAGAUUUACAUCAGGGCUAGACAGCUAUGUGUUGAUGAACCAUCCAGUACACUCCACUCUCAUGCUGCCCAGUAGGUCUCGCUGUGGAUGCCUCAGAUAGCGGGGAGCCAAUGGCCAAUCCCCUGUGAUUCAGCAAAACAUGUAGGGGCAUGUGAUAUGCUCAUGUGAUCUUGGCUAGUAACUUUCCUCAG